AAGUGGGUAUAAUUAAGGGGUUUUCAUGAUAUUUACCCUUUUUAUAAUUCUAAUUUUUUUUUUAUUUUAAGAAAUGCUCUCACGGUAGCCCUUCCCAGUUAUAUAUAAAUCAAGAUUUCUGAUACAUAAAAAUGGAAGAUAUGAGGAAAUUAAGUAAAUUAGCUAAAACAUCAAUGUACUACUAACAUGUCUUUGAAGCCCAUUUGGCAACAUUUAAUAAUUAAUUUUAAUUGUUCCCAAGGGGACACCAAGCGGUGCGACCUCCUGUGUGAAUGGUGAGAUCCUGGGUUCAAACCCCGCUACCCCUCCCCAACUCCCCCCAAGUAAAAAAAAAAAAACACUCGAACUGACUACCUAACCUCCCAUUAAUUUUGACAGCCAAUUUUGCCUAUUUUAAUGAAUUAAAUUUGUCUAGCUAGUUGGAAUCUAUAUACUAGGAUAGUAGUAUAUCAUUGCUUACUAAACUUUGCAAAAUUUAGAGCCAAUUUACUGCCAACACAACCGGUACGUAUUCGUUCGUUUCUCUAUGUGAAGCAAGUAAUAAUUGUCAAAG
rnacentral:lncRNA from 1 species